rfam:Brassica napus, WGS project CCCW01000000 data, contig: 13893
GGAAGUUAAGAAAUUGUUUCUUAACUUUUAACUAAAAAAGUUAAGAACCGGUUCUUAAUUAAAGAUUUUAAGAACCGGUUCUUAGCAUUUUUAGUUAAAAGUUAAGAAACAGUUUCUUAACUUCC